GUAUGCAGUGGAGACACAAAUUUCAGAGUCAUCUGAAUAAAGAUGGCAUUUAAAUCCACAAGAGUAGAUGAGAUCAUAAAGGAUGUGAUUGUGAAUAGAAAAUGGAAGCCGUCCAAGGCCUGAGCUGUAUUAUUUAAAGGGGAGAAGAGGGAAUGACCUGGAGAAGGAAAAUCUGUCUAAAAAGGAGCAGCCAGUAAGGGAGACCAUGAUGAUGACAUUUGGAAGCAUCUCAGGAGACAAGAAUAAAACACCAUUUUUUUCCCACUUCGCUAACAACUCAGUGUUCUGAAAAGUCUGGAAUGUGCUAUGAAAAGUUUGUGUGCUUAGUGAAAUGUUGUACAAUUGGCCAAUCCACUAAGUCUUGGGAAAUGUCUUAGGAGCUUGGCAAGAAGAAGUUCUCAAGAGAGCCUGAAUGCUGCCAGUUUCCAAUUGGCCAAGACACAUUACAAGGACAACUGUCUCUCUGAGCAACCUGGCAUUUCCACUCCAAUUGGAAUCUGCAAGGGGAAGAUGCGCAGGGGAAGAAGAUUAAACAAACCUUUUCAGA